CCUACGGGAGGCUGCAGUGAGGAAUAUUGGUCAAUGGACGAGAGUCUGAACCAGCCAAGUAGCGUGAAGGAUGACUGCCCUAUGGGUCGUAAACUUCUUUUAUACAGGAAUAACACGCGGCCCUUGUGCCUUUUUGCAGGUACUUUAUGAAUAAGGAUCGGCUAACUCCGUGCCAGCAGCCGCGGUAAUACGGAGGAUCCGAGCGUUAUCCGGAUUUAUUGGGGUUAAAGGGAGCGUAGAUGGGUUGUUAAGUCAGUUGUGAAAGUUUGCGGGCCAACCGUAACAGUGCAGUUGAUACUGGCAGUCUUGAGUUCAGUUCAGGUAGGCGGAAUUCGUGGUGUAGCGGUGAAAUGCAUAGAUAUCACGAAGAACCCCGAUUGCGAAGGCAGCUUGCCAAGCUGAGACUGACAUUGAGGCUCGAAAGUGUGGGUAUCAAACAGGAUUAGAUACCCGGGUAGUC
rnacentral:rRNA from 1 species